GACGAACGCUGGCGGCGUGCCUAAUACAUGCAAGUAGAACGCACAGUUUAUACCGUAGCUUGCUACACCAUAGACUGUGAGUUGCGAACGGGGGAGUAACGCGUAGGUAACCUGCCUGGUAGCGGGGGAUAACUAUUGGAAACGAUAGCUAAUACCGCAUAAUAUUGAUUAUUGCAUGAUAAUUAAUUGAAAGGUGCAAUUGCACCACUACCAGAUGGACCUGCGUUGUAUUAGCUAGUAGGUGAGGUAACGGCUCACCUAGGCGGAGAUACAUAGCCGAGCUGGGGAGGUGGUCGGCCAAAAUGGGAACUGGACAAGGGCCAGGAUGCUACGGGGGGCAGCAAGAGGGGAUUUUUGGAAAUGGAGGAAAGGCUUGAUGAGCAACGCCGGGGGAGUGAAGGAGGUUUUCGGGUUGUAAAAGUCUGUUGUUAGGGAAGAAAGAGUAUGAGAGUGAAAAGUUCACACUGUGACGGUAUCUUACGAGAAAGGGACGGCUAACUACGUG
rnacentral:rRNA from 1 species